UUUCGGAGGUAAGAGAUUCCAUUGCAGAGUAGUAUGCAGCCUUGCUUGAGUUACAAAAGUAAAGGUGACUUGAGAAUAGAAAUGACACAUGGCACGGCCAAAGUACCAGUUAUUGGUACUGCUUUGUUUAGUGUUGGCAACUAUAUGCGUACUGGGGUAUAAUGUCCAGCUAGAAGCCAGUGAAGCUAUGGCCUUUUGUCUGGGCUCAUUCAUCCAAAAAUCUAAUGAGGAGUAUCUCUACAAAGUUCUUAACUUCAAGUACAAACUGCUUCAGAUCAUGAUUUAGAAAGGAAUUCAUCUUGAAUGCACGGAUCAGACUAACCAAUUGCAAAAAGGGAGAGGUGCAGAAAGAUAGUUCCUCUGUCUGGCACUGAUAAAGCAAUGGUGAAAAUGAAGGUAAAGUGUUUAUCACUGCAAAGAUUACUCAAUUAUAAUAGCACCAGACUAACACAGUAAUAGCCUAUAGGACAACAUAAAUAACAAUAGGUAACACUUAACUUUGCACCCAGCAUCAUAACACGUUAUGACACGGUCAUAACCAUGUCAUAACAGCUGACAUAACUUGUCCUAAACUGUCAUAAUAUGGUCAAAACACUGUCAGGACACAUAUAUUGAAAUCUGUUGUGACAUAUAUUGCGUUGUUUCAUGACUGGUUAUGACACUUCCUUAAGAGUGUUAAAACCCACAAAACCUGCCACAGUAGUUAUUUUAUGGCUGCUUAUGACACCUACAUAAAGGUUUCAAAACUCACUAAACCUACCACACAAGACAAAACAUGCCAUUUACAUUUUACAUUUGAGUCAUUUAGCAGACGCUCUGAUUCAGAGCGACUUCCAUUAAACCAUAGCCUACUUUUCAAUAUUAUGUUUAUGUUAUGUAACAUUUACUGAAAUUGACCAUGUUCAUUUAUUUUUGUAAUUGCGCACAAAUUGAUGUCAGACAUGCACCGACCCCAAUGCUCUGCUGCUGAUGACUGGGAUGAAUGCAGGAGAAGAUUUCAGAAGCAGGACAAGACCUCCUUUUUUUUGACUGAUGACUGACAUAACGGCAUGUAUGUGAUAGGCCUAUAUGAUUAUGAUGGUCAUAAUGCUUCUUGACAGUAUCAUAAAGUGCAUUUUCUUAGUCCAAGUAAAGUGGCACAGGAUGGUCAUAAUGCUUCAUGACAGUGUCAUAAAGUGUAUUUUCUACAAGUUAUUUAAAAUAUGAUGAGAAAAAAAAACAAGACUUUAAAGAAUUCAUGACAACAACAACGGACUUAAGAAACACAUUUUCAAAUGAAAGGAAACUUCUUGACGGGGAAAAAAGACAUUUGAUUAAAUGUGGGUUUUCACACUCUUAUGUAGGUGUCAUCUCCAAACAUAAAAUAACGCAAUAUAUGUCACAACAGGUGUAAAUAUAUGGGUUAUGACAGUGUUAUGACCAUAAUAUGAGAGGUUAUGACAAGUUAUGUUAGCUGUUAUGACAUAUUAUGACAGGGUUAUGACUGUCAUAACGUGUUAUGAAGCUGGGUGUCAAGGAAAGUGUUAGUAUGAAAGAAUUAUGUUUUGUGCAGUUGAACAUUCUGUUAUUCUUUCUAAGGAAACCUAUUUAUUCUGUUUCAAAUGUUGGGGUGCCGCUUUGUAGUGUUGCUAUACAAGAGCAAAAUGGUGUUGACCCAGAAUGUUUGCAAACCAAUGUAAAAUGAGUCCCUGAAGCAUCAAAAUGUCUAGUCAUUCUCUGGUGACUGGUCUGAAUUUGAUUGUAGCCUAGCUAAACUACUAUUAUUGUGUAAAU
ensembl:lncRNA